GCCAAUCAGGAGUGCUUCCACAGCAGGAAUUGACACGCAAUUACUCGUGAUUGGUUGAAGUCUGGCUAGAGGACGUUUGUCUAACUGGCGACUUCGCCAUUUUUGUGUUUCUUGGUGUUCCUUGAAGGAGAAUAGGACGAAGAUAUGAAGUGAAAAUUUUAAUUUUUGUGUGUGAAGGUGAAUGCUGAACUGUAGGUGAAUGCUGAACAUUAUAGUCAGCAGUGGAGUUUCAUCUAACUACUACAGGUUUCAAGAUGGGAAACUGCACUAGACAUUAACCCAACAAGUGUAUUGAGCCAGGAACGUGAAGAAUCCAGGUGGGUUUCAGUUUUUAUUUAGUGGACAACAAUCAAGAGCAAAUUCACCAGUGUCUCCCGUACAUCAAGAUAAAUAUAACUAUGUUGAAUGGAUGGUUUUAUCAGUCACUGGUUCCUGUGCUGACAAACCAAUUGAAACGGGCCGGGUUUAAAACUACUUCAGAAAAGAGUCGGCCGAA